rnacentral:tRNA from 1 species
CGGGGUGUGGCGCAGUUCGGUAGCGCACCUGCUUUGGGAGCAGGGGGUCGUCGGUUCAAAUCCGGCCACCCCGA